AUUCCAGCUCCAAUAGCGUAUAUUAAAGUUGUUGCAGUUAAAAAGCUUGUAGUUGAACCUUGGGCCUGGCUGGCCGGUCCGCCUCACCGCGAGUACUGGUCCGGCUGGGCCUUUCCUUCUGGGGAACCUCAUGGCCUUCACUGGCUGUGGGGGGAACCAGGACUUUUACUGUGAAAAAAUUAGAGUGUUCAAAGCAGGCCUUUGCUCGAAUACAUUAGCAUGGAAUAAUAGAAUAGGACGUGCGGUUCUAUUUUGUUGGUUUCUAGGACCGCCGUAAUGAUUAAUAGGGAUAGUCGGGGGCGUCAGUAUUCAGCUGUCAGAGGUGAAAUUCUUGGAUUUGCUGAAGACUAACUACUGCGAAAGCAUUCGCCAAGGAUGUUUUCAUUAAUCAGGGAACGAAAGUUAGGGGAUCGAAGACGAUCAGAUACCGUCGUAGUCUUAACCAUAAACUAUGCCGACUAGGGAUCGGACGGGAUUCUAUGAUGACCCGUUCGGCACCUUACGAGAAAUCAAAGUUUUUGGGUUCUGGGGGGAGUAUGGUCGCAAGGCUGAAACUUAAAGAAAUUGACGGAAGGGCACCACAAGGCGUGGAGCCUGCGGCUUAAU
rnacentral:rRNA from 1 species